rnacentral:rRNA from 1 species
UACAGAGGGUGCAAGCGUUAAUCGGAAUUACUGGGCGUAAAGCGUGCGUAGACGGUUGCGUAAGUCAGAUGUGAAAGCCCCCGGCUCAACCGGGGAGGGUGGCUGCAAACUGGGCCUCUUGAGGGCGAUAGAGGAAGGUGGAAUUCCUGGUGUAGCGGUGAAAUGCGUAGAUAUCAGGAGGAACACCGGUGGCGAAGGCGGUUCUCUGGGCAUGUCCUGACGCUGAGGAGCGAAAGUGUGGGGAGCGAACAGG